UGGGGAAUUUUGGACAAUGGGCGAAAGCCUGAUCCAGCAAUGCCGCGUGUGUGAAGAAGGCCUUCGGGUUGUAAAGCACUUUUGUCCGGAAAGAAAUCCUUGGCUCUAAUACAGUCGGGGGAUGACGGUACCGGAAGAAUAAGCACCGGCUAACUACGUGCCAGCAGCCGCGGUAAUACGUAGGGUGCAAGCGUUAAUCGGAAUUACUGGGCGUAAAGCGUGCGCAGGCGGUUUGCUAAGACCGAUGUGAAAUCCCCGGGCUCAACCUGGGAACUGCAUUGGUGACUGGCAGGCUAGAGUAUGGCAGAGGGGGGUAGAAUUCCACGUGUAGCAGUGAAAUGCGUAGAGAUGUGGAGGAAUACCGAUGGCGAAGGCAGCCCCCUGGGCAAGUACUGACGCUCAUGCACGAAAAGCGUGGGGAGCAAAACAGGAUUAAUACCCUGGUAGUCCACGCCCUAAAANGAUGUCAACUAGUUGUUGGGGAUUCAUUUCCUUAGUAACGUAGCUAACGCGUGAAGUUGACCGCCUGGGGAGUACGGUCGCAAGAUUAAAACUCAAAGAAUUGACGGGGUCAUGCUGUUUCCU
rnacentral:rRNA from 1 species